GACGAACUUUGGCGGCGUGCUUAACACAUGCAAGUCGAACGGAAAGGCCCUGCUUUUGUGGGGUGCUCGAGUGGCGAACGGGUGAGUAACACGUGAGUAACCUGCCCUUGACUUUGGGAUAACUUCAGGAAACUGGGGCUAAUACCGGAUAGGAGCUCCUGCUGCAUGGUGGGGGUUGGAAAGUUUCGGCGGUUGGGGAUGGACUCGCGGCUUCUCAGCUUGUUGGUGGGGUAGUGGCUUACCAAGGCUUUGACGGGUAGCCGGCCUGAGAGGGUGACCGGCCACAUUGGGACUGAGAUACGGCCCAGACUCCUACGGGAGGCAGCAGUGGGGAAUAUUGCACAAUGGGCGGAAGCCUGAUGCAGCAACGCCGCGUGCGGGAUGACGGCCUUCGGGUUGUAAACCGCUUUCGCCUGUGACGAAGCGUGAGUGACGGUAAUGGGUAAAGAAGCACCGGCUAACUACGUGCCAGCAGCCGCGGUGAUACGUAGGGUGCGAGCGUUGUCCGGAUUUAUUGGGCGUAAAGGGCUCGUAGGUGGUUGAUCGCGUCGGAAGUGUAAUCUUGGGGCUUAACCCUGAGCGUGCUUUCGAUACGGGUUGACUUGAGGAAGGUAGGGGAGAAUGGAAUUCCUGGUGGAGCGGUGGAAUGCGCAGAUAUCAGGAGGAACACCAGUGGCGAAGGCGGUUCUCUGGGCCUUUCCUGACGCUGAGGAGCGAAAGCGUGGGGAGCGAACAGGCUUAGAUACCCUGGUAGUCCACGCUGUAAACGGUGGGUACUAGGUGUGGGGUCCAUUCCACGGGUUCCGUGCCGUAGCUAACGCUUUAAGUACCCCGCCUGGGGAGUACGGCCGCAAGGCUAAAACUCAAAGGAAUUGACGGGGCCCCGCACAAGCGGCGGAGCAUGCGGAUUAAUUCGAUGCAACGCGUAGAACCUUACCUGGGUUUGACAUGGAUCGGGAGUGCUCAGAGAUGGGUGUGCCUCUUUUGGGGUCGGUUCACAGGUGGUGCAUGCCUGUCGUCAGCUCGUGUCGUGAGAUGUUGGGUUAAGUCCCGCAACGAGCGCAACCCUUGUUCACUGUUGCCAGCACGUUAUGGUGGGGACUCAGUGGAGACCGCCGGGGUCAACUCGGAGGAAGGUGGGGAUGACGUCAAGUCCUCAUGCCCCUUAUGUCCAGGGCUUCACGCAUGCUACAAUGGCUGGUACAGAGAGUGGCGAGCCUGUGAGGGUGAGCGAAUCUCGGAAAGCCGGUCUCAGUUCGGAUUGGGGUCUGCAACUCGACCUCAUGAAGUCGGAGUCGCUAGUAAUCGCAGAUCAGCAACGCUGCGGUGAAUACGUUCCCGGGGCU
rnacentral:rRNA from 1 species